UACGGAGGGGUGCAAACGUUGCUCGGAAUCGAUUGGGCGUAAAGCGCACGUAGGCGGCCUGUUAAGUCGGAUGUGAAAGCCCGUGGCUCAACCCAGGAAGUGCAUUCGAAACGUGGCAGGCUUGAAUAUGGAAGAGGGUCGCGGAAUUCCCGGUGAUAGAGGUGAAAUUCGUAGAUAUCGGGAGGAACACCAGUGGCGAAGGCGGCGCCUGGGCCAAUAUUGACGCUGAGGUGCGAAAGCGUGGGGAGCAAACAGG
rnacentral:rRNA from 1 species